CUAGGCAAUGUCUCACUCAUUCAUUGGCUAUUUUGAGCAUCCCAGCUCCUCACUGGGCACUGAAAUACAGCGAGAACUCGGAAGGUGUCUGCCUCCACAGGCACACGACAAACACAGUAACAGGCAGUGCAUGGAAGUCCUUCGUUUCCCCGCAGCACAUUUUAACUGGUUUCUGAUUUCCCUUCCUUUUCUGUUUUGCCAUCCUCUGGGUUUUGAGAACGCAGCUGUCUCAGAGCAGGGGCAAGAAAGGCAAUGUGAGCGAGGAGCCCCAGCGUCGACUCGCGUCCUCCAGACACCUGUGUAAGCCGACAGGCUACCUAGAGCUCCUGUUUCCACAGUCACAGCACGAAGAAGCCGAUGUCUCCCCCGUCAUGCGGGCUAGUCUGUGGAUCCUAUCUGUGGCUGUGCCAGGAAGCAUCUGCGAGCCUCCUGCCCAUGAGCGUUCCUGGCUGGCUGUCUAAUGUCCACAGCCUACAGAUGCACAAGUCUUGGCUACUUCUCCAGCACCGUGUCUGCCUGAGUGCCACCAUGCCCCUGCCGUGAUGAUAGUGGACUAACUUCUGAAACUGUAUGGGUGUGUUGCCUGCAUGUAUGUCUGUGUACCACAUGCAUGUUUGGUGCCCUCAGAGGCCAGAAGAAGGCAUCAGAUCCCUCUAAAAGCAGAGUUACCGGUGGUUGUUAGCUACCAGGAAUAGCUUCCUCUUUGCUUACGGGACAGAGAGAAUCACAGUCAGCCCUGAUAGAGUUUCUUCUGCAAAGAAGAAAUUGCUUCCUGGUGAUUGAGCUUCCCUCCCCUGAGCAGCUGUGCAGAAAUUCUCAGACGCCAGUGACUAAUGAAGAUUCUGGGCUCCAGGCUGUUCUCCUCUGACUGUAAGCCCCGAGACUACCUAGUUUCCUUGGGGCUCAGACCUGAGUCAGAAGAAAGAAGGCAUUGGGAAACAUCCUUCAUUCAGUCUGACCUUCCUGUAGAAACCUCCAGCAACUUCCCUGAAAAUGAAGGAUGUUAGGUUUGCAACCGGAAGAGUCAGAAUCGGAAUCCCAGUUCCCACACUCUCCCUGUGGCCUUGGAAGGUUCCAUCUCCUCUUCUGACCUCUUACUGGACAUUGAGGUCCAUUUAAACAUAAAAUGAAAUAGAGGUUGGAACUGUGAACUCUCUGUUCUUCCUGCUACCAUGACUGCUACCUGCCACCAUGAUUUCCUGUCAUGAGGAUGCUCAUCCACCAGGAACUGGAUCAAGACAUGAGCUCUCAGCUGUUCCUGCCAGCAGGCCUUGGACCCACCAUCAUGGA